CCUACGGGAGGCAGCAGUGGGGAAUAUUGGGCAAUGGGCGCAAGCCUUACCCAGCAAUACCGCGUGAGUGAAGAAGGUCUUCGGAUUGUAAAGCUCUUUGAUCAGGGACGAACAGAUGACGGUACCUGUAGAACAAGCCCCGGCUAACUACGUGCCAGCAGCCGCGGUAAAACGUAGGGGGCGAGCGUUGUCCGGAAUGACUGGGGGUUAAGGGUGCGUAGGCGGGAUAAUAAGUUAGAAGUGAAAUACCCAGGGCUUAACUCGGGUGCUGCUUCUAAGACUGUUGAGCUGGAGUGCGGGAGAGGUUAAUGGAAUUACUAGUGUAGCGGUGGAAUGCGUAGAUAUAAGGAAGAACACCAGAGGCGAAGGCGAUUAACUGGACCGUAACUGACGCUGAGGCACGAAAGUGUGGGUAGCAAACAGGAUUAGAUACCCUUGUAGUC
rnacentral:rRNA from 1 species